AGUUAUCUUUCUGUCAUAUGAAAUAAUGUCACUAAGAAACUGACAACAACUUGAAGCUCUAACCGAUCAAAAAGUUGCUAUUAUAAUUAUAGUUUUUAUAAAAAUUUGGAAAUUAAAUAGAAACUUCAAAUAGAAUUAUUUCCUGAGGUUUGUUUGGACUGGGCAGAGAUCAUAAUGGACAAAAAGAAAGAUAAUAUAUUUGCGGGACUUAGAGCUGCUAUAAUAAUUGUUACAGACAUGCCACUAAUGAUGAUGAAUACGGUGAUGAGGAUAUGUACAGAAAAAGACAAUACCUAUUACCAGAUGGCUAAAGCCAUCGUGAUUGUUAUUGGUGCCUUAAUACGUUUUCUGCUCACCGGCAUAAAGAUUCGAGUUAAACAAAAGAAAGGAAUAAAACACAGAAAAAUGAUAGGGCUUCAUUGUAGAGUAUGUGUAGAGCAGGUGCAAUUUACGUUUGCUAUAGUGCUCUUUAUCCUCUCACAGACUAAGCAAAAUAACCAUGGAGGUACAGAAUUUCAGGUGCCACACGCUUUAUAUGCUAAAAAUGAUGACAGCAAGUACUUUACAAAUGUCAGCAUUUUUUUCAGCCAUCCCUAUCUAGAUUAUAAAUCAAAUUAUGCAGCACACGACAUAAAUUUGAUCAGACUUCUAUCAAUUUACAAGUUGAAAAACUCAAUGACUGAACAAACAGUUAAUAUCCAUUAUGAUUCAAACCACACAAACUUCCUAGUCAAAAUUUCUGGCGAGUCGGACCAAUGCUUUAAAAAAAUGAAAAUACAGUAACCAUGGCAACAAACUGCUCCAGUGAUGAACCACCAAAUGCUGGCCAAUUCGCCUUCACUUUCCACUAUGUCAAGCCAUCACGUUUCAGAUUACUUUACGGCGAAAUCACUUACAACAUGCAUAUUGGCUACAAUGCAAACUGUGAAGUGCCUGACUCUCCUGUGGUAGAUAACACCAGCUCAGUCUUUCUGCACUACUACAGAACUCCCUACAUUAGGGAAGAGAGCAGCCUCCUACCUCUGUCAAACUCUUCCUACAAGUUUUAUCAACUGGGAAAUUUGACUGACGACAUAUGGGGGGGAAGAACCUGCAAGAACCCAGGCAGUCAUGCACCACAUAGGGAUGAGAGCCUAGCAGUUCAAUGCCUGUAGUGGGAUACUGCAGAAACUUUCUGUUAUGUGUGUAUUUUGUAAUAACAGGACUAUGGUUUUGCUUUUGAAGUGUUACAUGAUUUGCUUUAAAUAUCUGGUGAUGAGAUGAAGAUGUGUAGUCAUAUUAAUGAAUGCAGUUAUAUAAAUGAAUGUAGUAAUAUGAAUGAAUGAAGUAAUAUGUAAGAAUUCAAUAUUAUUAAUGAAUGUAGUAAUAUGAAUGAAUACAUUAAUAUGUAAGAAUUCUUCAAUAUUAUUAAUGACUGUAGUGAUAUGAAUGAAUUCAGUAAUAUGUAAGAAUUCAAUAUUAUUAAUGAAUGAAGUAAUAUGAAUGAAUACAGUAAUAUGUAAGAAUUCAAUAUUAUUAAUGAAUGUAGUAAUAUGAAUGAAUACAGUAAUAUGUAAGAAUUCAAUAUUAUUAAUGAAUGUAGUAAUAUGAAUGAAUGAAGUAAUAUGUAAGAAUUCAAUAUUAUUAAUGAAUGUAGUAAUAUGAAUGAAUACAGUAAUAUGUAAGAAUUCAAUAUUAUUAAUGAAUGUAGUAAUAUGAAUGAAUACAGUAAUAUGUAAGAAUUCAAUAUUAUUAAUGAAUUUAGUAAUAUGAAUGAAUACAGUAAUAUGUAAGAAUUCAAUAUUAUUAAUGAAUGUAGUAAUAUGAAUGAAUACAGUAAUAUGUAAGAAUUCAAUAUUAUUAAUGAAUGUAGUAAUAUGAAUGAAUACAGUAAUAUGUAAGAAUUCAAUAUUAUUAAUGAAUGUAGUAAUAUGACUGAAUACGGUAAUAUGUAAGAAUUCAAUAUUAUUAAUGAAUGUAGUAAUAUGAAUGAAUACAGUAAUAUGUAAGAAUUCAAUAUUAUUAAUGAAUGUAGUAAUAUGAAUGAAUACAGUAAUAUGUAAGAAUUCAAUAUUAUUAAUGAAUGUAGUAAUAUGAAUGAAUACAGUAAUAUGCAAGAAUGCAGUAACGGGUUGUAUGAAUGCAGUAAUAUGUAUGAAUGCAGUCAUAUGUAUGAAUAUAAUUAUUUGUAUGAAUGCAGUUAUAUGAAUGAAUGUAGUUAUAUGUAUGAAUGCAGUUAUAUGAAUGAAUGUAGUUAUAUAAUUGAAUGUAGUGAUAUAAAUGAAUUUAACAAUUUGUAUGAAUGUAGUUAUAUGUAUGGAUGUAGUAAUAUGAAUGAAUGUACAAAUAUGUUCAGUAUUUUUCGGGUUAUAUGUACGACGUAUCCCUUAAAUUUUUACGUUUCGAAUCUUGUCAACAUAUAAGACGCAUUGACGUAAACGUCGCCCAUAUUUCAUGAUAAAAUAAUCCCAAAUAUG